GAUGAACGCUGGCGGCGUGCCUAAUACAUGCAAGUCGAGCGAACAGACGAGGAGCUUGCUCCCCUGACGUUAGCGGCGGACGGGUGAGUAACACGUGGAUAACCUACCUAUAAGACUGGGAUAACUUCGGGAAACCGGAGCUAAUACCGGAUAAUAUAUUGAACCGCAUGGUUCAAUAGUGAAAGACGGUUUUGCUGUCACUUAUAGAUGGAUCCGCGCCGCAUUAGCUAGUUGGUAAGGUAACGGCUUACCAAGGCGACGAUGCGUAGCCGACCUGAGAGGGUGAUCGGCCACACUGGAACUGAGACACGGUCCAGACUCCUACGGGAGGCAGCAGUAGGGAAUCUGCCGCAAUGGGCGAAAGCCUGACGGAGCAACGCCGCGUGAGUGAUGAAGGUCUUCGGAUCGUAAAACUCUGUUAUUAGGGAAGAACAAAUGUGUAAGUAACUAUGCACGUCUUGACGGUACCUAAUCAGAAAGCCACGGCUAACUACGUG
rnacentral:rRNA from 1 species